rnacentral:rRNA from 1 species
UAGCUGAGUGUCUUGAGGAGGGACUGACCAUGUCACACUUGGGACUUGAGACACGGCCCAGACUCCUACGGGAGGCAGCAGUGGGGAAUUUUCCGCAAUGGGCGAAAGCCUGACGGAGCAAUACCGCGUGAGGGAGGAAGGCUCUUGGGUUGUAAACCUCUUUUCUCAGGGAAUAAGAAAGUGAAGGUACCUGAGGAAUCAGCAUCGGCUAACUCCGUGCCAGCAGCCGCGGUAAUACGGAGGAUGCAAGCGUUAUCCGGAAUGAUUGGGCGUAAAGCGUCCGCAGGUGGUUGCUCAAGUCUGCUGUCAAAGAGUCUGGCUCAACCAGAUAAAGGCAGUGGAAACUGAGAGACUAGAGUGCGGUAGGGGCAGAGGGAAUUCCUGGUGUAGCGGUGAAAUGCGUAGAGAUCAGGAAGAACACCGGUGGCGAAAGCGCUCUGCUGGACCGCAACUGACACUGAGGGACGAAAGCUAGGGGAGCGAAAGGGAUUAGAUACCCCUGUAGUCA